CCCUUAGAUGUUCUGGGCCGCACGCGCGCUACACUGACUGGUGCAACAAGUGUCUGACCUUGGCUCGAGAGGCCUGGGCAACCUUUGAACGCCAGUCGUGCUGGGGAUAGAUUCUUGCAAUUAUUAAUCUUCAACGAGGAAUUCCUAGUAAACGCAAGUCAUCAGCUUGCAUUGAUUACGUCCCUGCCCUUUGUACACACCACCCGUCGCACCUACCGAUUGAAUGGUCCGGUGAAAUCUCCGGACUGGCGUGAGUCGGAGCAAUCUGACAAACACCGGAAAGUUGAUUAAACCUUACCAUUUAGAGGAAGGUGAANUCGUAACA
rnacentral:rRNA from 1 species